UUGAGUGCAGGAUUCUUUGGUUUAUUCGGAGGUCUAUGCGGGGGUCCAGUGAAGUGUGAGUAGAUUGGUCUAAACUAAAUGAGUAGUUCCUAGGGGGAAAAAAAAGGCAAACUUUCCAAUUGUAUCUUUCAGGGGUUGGAAAAGAAACCCGUUCCAGAGGUCGGAGCGGCUCAUUUAUUGGACCUGCCUCUUGGGGUCAAAUUGCCCGUGAUCCCAGGAAGCACAAAUGUAUUCUAUACUACAAAUUUAAGUGAAAAGCUUUAUCAACCUUCUUACGAUUUUAACCUGACUGAUCCUUACUGUCGACUUUUGGAGACAAGCUAUCAAAGUCUGCACGAUCCACAUUUAAAAUCAUACCAUAGGAGAAAAGAUAUUUUGAGGAGGCUCAAGAAAGGCGGCUACAUAACCAGCAAUAAUAAAGUUAUAUGUACCAUAAAGGAACUAAAUAAGUACAGGCAGUACCUAACGAGUUUGAAGUUAGACUUUGAAAGGAACUAUGUAAGAGAACAAAAAAUGAUUGAAAAACAAGUAAAUAAAUUGUAUGAAAGCAAGAGAGCCCUUGAACGUCCUAACAUUGCACAAUUCCAAGAAUGGCUGUUCCACAAAGGCCCACCAAUAACUCCAGAGCAAGACCAACUGCUGAAGUACCGAUAUUUAGAUAUGGUUAGGAAGGAAUUAGACAAAACUGAACAUACAGCAGAAAAACAGAGCACAUCCCGGAUGAUGGAAGAAGAAAGUCGACACCGGGACCACAUAAGAAGAAAACUUAGUCUCCGUAAACAAAUUGAAGAGGAAUGGAAAACAAAGGAAAUGUUACUUCUGACAAAGAUUGGGGAAGAGGUAAGAAGAGAAUCUAGGAUUGAGGAGCAUCGUCGGAAAAGCCGAGAAGAAAC